rnacentral:tRNA from 1 species
UCGUCUAGUGGUCUAGGACCCCUCUCUUUCACGGAGGAAACAGGGAUUCGAAUUCCCUUAAGGGUA